rnacentral:lncRNA from 1 species
GCUCAAAAAAUGGAAAUGGUAUGCAUGGCUCAAAAGACACACACACAUAUAUAUAUACACACACACACACGCAUGUGACUCACCAAGUAAAAGCAGCAUGAAGGAAUUGCAGAGGGCAAAGCACAUUAUAUUAUAUAUAUAUAUGUAUGCACGGCGAUAAAGCAAACUACAAUAGCGAUAAAGCAAACUACAACAGCAGCUUUCCGUAUAUAUAUACUCAAGUGACUCACCAAGUAAAAGCAGCAGCACAGGAUUGCUAGUCAAUGGUGCAGUGAUGAUGCAAGGCAGUAAGCAACGCAGUAGCUGAAGCUGUAUAAUGAGUGUACAAGCAAAGGAGCAAUCUCAUAUAUAUAGAUAUAAAGGUCCUCGGAGAAGCAAAUGAAAUGCGGUGACUGUUCAAAA